GAACGCUGGCGGCAGGCUUAASACAUGCAAGUCGAACGGAAGCCUUCGGGCUUUAGUGGCGAACGGGUGAGUAAUGCCUAGGAAUCUGCCCAUUAGCGGGGGAUAACGUUCCGAAAGGAACGCUAAUACCGCAUACGCCCUACGGGGGAAAGCAGGGGAUCUUCGGACCUUGCACUAAUGGAUGAGCCUAGGUCGGAUUAGCUAGUCGGUGGGGUAAAGGCCUACCAAGGCGACGAUCUGUAGCGGGUCUGAGAGGAUGAUCCGCCACACUGGAACUGAGACACGGUCCAGACUCCUACGGGAGGCAGCAGUGGGGAAUAUUGGACAAUGGGCGCAAGCCUGAUCCAGCCAUGCCGCGUGUGUGAAGAAGGCCUUUUGGUUGUAAAGCACUUUAAGCGGGGAGGAGGCAACUUGGGUUAAUACCCCGAUGUUGUGGACGUUACCCGCAGAAUAAGCACCGGCUAACUCUGUGCCAGCAGCCGCGGUAAUACAGAGGGUGCGAGCGUUAAUCGGAAUUACUGGGCGUAAAGCGCGCGUAGGCGGCUUGUUAAGUCGGAUGUGAAAUCCCU
rnacentral:rRNA from 1 species